AUUGAACGCUGGCGGCAUGCCUUACACAUGCAAGUCGAACGGCAGCACGGAGCUUGCUCUGGUGGCGAGUGGCGAACGGGUGAGUAAUAUAUCGGAACGUACCCAGUUGUGGGGGAUAACUAACCGAAAGGUUAGCUAAUACCGCAUACGACCUGAGGGUGAAAGCGGGGGACCGUAAGGCCUCGCGCAAUUGGAGCGGCCGAUGUCUGAUUAGCUAGUUGGUAGGGUAAAGGCCUACCAAGGCGACGAUCAGUAGCUUGUCUGAGAGGAUGAUCAGCCACACUGGAACUGAGACACGGUCCAGACUCCUACGGGAGGCAGAAGUGGGGAAUUUUGGACAAUGGGCGAAAGCCUGAUCCAGCCAUUCCGCGCGAGUGAAGAAGGCCUUCGGGUUGUAAAGCUCUUUCGGCAGGGAAGAAACGGCCUAGGUUAAUACCUUGGGCUAAUGACGGUACCCGAAGAAGAAGCACCGGCUAACUACGUGCCAGCCGCCGCCGUAACAC
rnacentral:rRNA from 1 species